rnacentral:ncRNA from 2 species
UGCUUAUCAAGAGUGGUGGAGGGAAAGGCCCUGUGAAACCACAGCAACCGGCCGUCAUGGCGCCAGGUGCUAAUUCCUGCCGUCAGGCAAAGAUGAGAGGGUGUGCU